GAAGGAGUUCAACACAGGUUGAACUCAAAGAUGGUGGGAAGAUGAUACACUCUGCAUUUAAAGGUUUCCCUUUCCUGUUCUUCAGUUUUCUCUUCAAGGAAGGUCAUUAAUCACAUCUGGAAGGGGAAGUGGAGUAGCAGCAGAAACACACACUGAUAUCUCCGGAUAUAAAGAGGUGGAUGUAACACUGGAAGCACAGGAGAUCAACGAAGAGACAGAACAACAAAGUUUCCCACCUGCUUUGUCCACAAGCUUGAAGUCUAGUAGUCAGGGACUCACCAGGCAAAAUGUCAGAGAAUAUCCACCUCUGCUGCCAAUCUUUAAAGUAAGAUGAGUUAUAAUAGUCUUUUGCCAGGAAGACUUUCUUGUGAGCACGAGAAACUUGCCUCAUAGGGGCUCCAUACUGUUGAAGUGAGAAUUGUGCAGCUUGUAUUAUAUUAGAGUAGCAGUCUAGUCUCUGCUUUGUGUCACAAUGUGAGAGCUCUAACACAACAUUAUUCUCCAUAAGGGGACUUAAGCAGCCUGAGAUUGUUCAGCUUUUGUUGUUCAAUGUUGCUCACU